UACGUAGGGUGCAAGCGUUGUCCGGAAUUAUUGGGCGUAAAGGGCUCGUAGGUGGCCUGUCGCGUCGGCUGUGAAAACUCGGGGCUCAACUCCGAGCUUGCAGUCGAUACGGGCAGGCUAGAGUUCGGCAGGGGAGACUGGAAUUCCUGGUGUAGCGGUGAAAUGCGCAGAUAUCAGGAGGAACACCGGUGGCGAAGGCGGGUCUCUGGGCCGAUACUGACACUGAGGAGCGAAAGCGUGGGGAGCGAACAGG
rnacentral:rRNA from 1 species